AACUUUUAACAAUGGAUCUCUUGGCUCUCAUAUCGAUGAAGAACACAGUGAAAUGUGAUAAGUAAUGUGAAUUGCAGAAUUCAGUGAAUCAUUGAAUCUUUGAGCGCACCUUGCACCUUUUGGUAUUCCAAAAGGUACACCUGUUUGAGUGUCAUG
rnacentral:rRNA from 1 species